UAACGGCUCACCAAGGCGACGAUCGAUAGCUGGUCUGAGAGGAUGAUCAGCCACAUUGGGACUGAGACACGGCCAAAACACCAACAGGAGGCAGCAGUGGGGAAUAUUGGACAAUGGGCGCAAGCCUGAUCCAGCCAUGCCGCGUGAGUGAUGACGGCCUUAUGGUUGUAAAGCUCUUUCGCUAGGGACGAUGAUGACGGUACCUAGACAAGAAGCCCCUGCUAACUUCCUGCCAGCAGCCGCGGUAAUACGAAGGGGGCUAGCGUUGUUCGGAAUUACUGGGCGUAAAGCGCGUGUCGGCGGGCUUUUAAGUCAGGGGUGAAAUGCCAAGGCUCAACCUUGCAACUGCCUUUGAUACUGGAAGUCUUGACUCCGGAAGAGGUGAGUGGAACUGCUAGUGUAGAGGUGAAAUU
rnacentral:rRNA from 2 species